rnacentral:lncRNA from 1 species
GUUUUACAGAACAGGAAGAAGUAACAGGACUGUUUUCCAAGCAUUGUAUCCUCCUGUGUCAUUUCCCACCUGGGCAUGAUGAAGUAAUACACUGGAGCAAAGAGAACAAAAAAGUGCACAGUUACUACCAGCAGAAGGAUCAGCUGGAAGAACAAGAUCCACAUUACAGACUCAGAGCACACCUUUUCCAGGAGAACAUCCCUAGUGGAAAUGCCUCCUUGAAACUUAACCUGACCAUGAGCUCUGAUACCUGCUACCUGGGAACAGCACAAGAUGGAACAAAAGUGGAAGUGCUGCUAUGCAUGAGAGCUCAUUCCUUCUUCUUAUGUACUGGAAUACAACAAGACAAACACAGAAAGGAGACUGAAGUGCCAUGCCUUUCUCACUUAUCCAGCACCAAAUAUAUCUUGGAAAAUUCAGGUAACAUCUGGAUAAUUGUGCUAGGAGUGCUUGGUGCAGUGGCAACAGUAGUACAUUGCUAUCUCAAGAAAAAAAGGAAGAGAAGAAUCAUAUGAACACCUUGACAUACAGGAAGAAAAUAGCUCUCUGCACACAGAUACUACUGAGAUUGGUGAUGAAAAGAACAAAAUGUUCCUUCACCUUCCCCUUUGAGUUACAAUAAGAAACACAUGGAAAUGUGAUUUUCUGAGCAACAGUAAUGGACAAACGUGGAGGAAAGAAAGUCAAUGGACACUUGUAUGUGAAAAGUCAUGUAGCAGGGCAUCUCACCCUCCACAUGAGCUUAUCUAUUGCUUGUUAACUGGUGAAUUAAUUCAAACCAGGCAAAGCUGUCUUGUAGUGGGUUAUUUUGGCACCAUGGGAUUACCAUUGGCCUGGCAUCUCCCAACUGACAAUAAGCAUCUUACUGUGAAAGUGAGAUCUGGAAAGAGAAACUGGGUUUCUGACUGACAGGCACCUACCUUUACAAACUAUAUAAGCUGCAUCAAGCUUUCACAAAGCAGAAAUCUUCUGCACAUUUUCCUGGAAACAUGUGGUUUCUUGUCAGAGCAGGAAGGCCUGCUUUGCAGUUACUCCUCUGGAGGCUGAGUAUUUCAUUUAUUAGUUUUAAUAUAGGUACCAUAAUAUCAUGCAGUGUUUUAUGUAAUAUACUAGUAUUUCUUUUGCUUUAUACUGUGUCAUAAGUAACUCUGAUUAAGACCUUUCAUUUGUUAUCUCCUGUCUGUUCCAUUUUAUAAGUAGAUCUAAUCUGCCAUCCUUAGAACUUGCAGGCCAGAGUGAUUUCUUAAAUUUAAGGCAGGGCUUGUCUGAAGCUCCCACUCAUCCUGUGACAAGUCAGCAUGCAAAACUGGAUUUCCUAAAGGGACAAAGAAGUUUCCAGAAAAGAAGAAAUCCCUAAAUUUCAAGGUUGGCAUUUUUAUUUUUUUUUUCAGGAUGAGGACAAGAGAGCUCACUGGUUUUCAUUUCAUUUAGUAUUUUAUUUUAAAGCAAAGACCACGUCUGCUAUCCACAGCAGCGAGUCUGAGCCCAGCAGAGUGUGCUGGGCUGGCAGUGGCG